GGCCGUGAUCAGAGGCUGUAGUGUAGCCAACCGCAGACAGACACGCAGACACGCAGGCAGACAGACAGAAAGACACGCAGACAGAAAGACACGCAGACAGAAAGACACGCAGACAGACAGACAGACACGCAGACAGACAGACAGACACGCAGACAGACAGACAGACAGACACGCAGACAGACAGACAGACAGACACGCAGACAGACACGCAGACAGACACGCAGACAGACAGACAGACAAAGACAGACAGACAGACAGACACGAGUCAGCAGGCCCCCAUGCUGCUGGAUUAACAGCGUUUCACAGCUGAAUCAAACACCUAUGGGAUUGAAUGACCAAAAGUG
ensembl:lncRNA